rnacentral:rRNA from 1 species
AUACGGAAGGUCCGGGCGUUAUCCGGAUUUAUUGGGUUUAAAGGGAGCGCAGGCGGGAUAUUAAGCGUGACGUGAAAUGUAGCCGCUCAACGGCUGCACUGCGUCGCGAACUGGUAUUCUUGAGUGAGUUCGACGUGUGCGGAAUUCGUGGUGUAGCGGUGAAAUGCUUAGAUAUCACGAAGAACUCCGAUUGCGAAGGCAGCGCACGAGGCCUUUACUGACGCUAAAGCUCGAAGGUGCGGGUAUCGAACAGGAUUAGAUACCCUGGUAGUCCGCACGGUAAACGAUGGAUGCCCGCUGUUCGCGAUAUACGGUGAGCGGCCAAGAGAAAUCGUUAAGCAUCCCACCUGGGGAGUACGCCGGCAACGGUGAAACUCAAAGGAAUUGACGGGG